UGAUUUGGUUGUUGUCGUGAUGGUGUUGAU
rnacentral:piRNA from 1 species